CUGCAUGGUGUUUGGUUGCUGGCUGGGGCUAAACCAUGACAGUCCAUUUUGGCGCCCAAAGUGGGGCAUGAAAGGUUUGAGAGAAUGACAGAUUUGAUUGGAAUGUGCUAGAUGGAAUUUAUAGCAGUUAUUGCUGUUUAGCUGUUGAUUGGCAGGCUUCUGUGCUUGCUAUGGGGCUUGUCUGACUUACUGUAUGCCUUAAAAUCUAGUGCUCAUUAGUGGUGCUUUUUGCUUUCGCUGCUUGCUGUACUGCUGCACUGCUUAUCACCUUACCCUGCAUUGCCUGGGAACAUUCUGAUAACAGCCAUGGCCAUGUGCCCGGGCUUGCAUAUGGCAAGCUGCUGUUUCUGUGCUGCUGCUCUUGACAGGCUGGAACUCCAGCAUGAACUUGAGUCAAAGGGACUGUGACCUGUGGAUGAGUCCAUGUGGGAGCAGGACACCCCAAAGCAUCUGUGGCUGUGUAUAAGCCCGUGCCAGAGCAGGUAUAUCUCAAAGUGUCUAUGGCCUUGGUUAUGCCUGUGCCACAGCAGGUAUACCUCCGAGGCAAUUGUGGCCCAAGGAUAAAUCCAUCUUGGGGAAGGUACACCUCAAAGUGUCUGUGGCUGUAGAUAAGUCCAUGCUGCAGCAGGUACAGCUUGAAGCAUCAGUGGCUGUGCAUGGGGUCAUGCCAGAGCACCUCAAAGUGCGUGGCCAUGGAUAAGCCCACAACAGAGCAGGCUUACUUCUGGAGGGACUGCAGCCAUGGGCAAGGCUGUGUUGGAGCAGGUUUACUUCUGGAGGGAUUGCAGCUGUGGGUAAGGCCAUGCUGGAGCAGGUAUAGCUCUGAAAGCACUGAGGCCCAUGCAGAAGGCCACGCUGGAACAGGCGCACCUCAAAGCAACUGUGGCUCUGGAUAAGUCUAUGCUGCAGCAGGUGUACCCCUGGAGAGACCGUGGCUCCUGGGUAAGGCUCCACUCGGAGCAGGUACAACCCUAAAGGACUACAGUCUGUGGAUAAGUCCAAACCAGAGCAGGGGCAAGGGGAGGAGUUCAUUACAAUCUUAAACCUGAUGGUCUGAUUCAGAUGGACCAGGGGUGGAGAUUCUAAUGGAAAUACCUUUAAAUUGUUCUAAGACGGGAUUUGAGUUACAUAUUAUGGAAAUUAUAUCACAGAAACCCCUUGUUGCUAGCCAGGCUGGGAGCAAGGGGAGGAGUUCAUUGCAAUGUUAUAACCUAUAACAUGGCCCAAAGGGGCCAGGGGUGGAGAUUAUAAUGGAUAUACCUUUAAAUUGUUGUAACCUGUGAUUUGAGUUGCAUCUUACAGGAAUUACUGCAGCAGGAACCACCCGAACAAGUGGAGGACAAGCCUUUCAAGGAGCAGUGCAAGCGCAGCAGUGACCUGACCUGGUUUUGGUGCCCAGUAACUACAUGCAACACACCACCUCUCCUGUCCUGCAAGACCACAAGAACAGAUGGAGACCAAAGCCAUGGACUAUCUGUGUAUUUUAUCAAAGGAAGGGAAGUAACCGUUACAGGUGAUGGAGCCCUGCUUUCCUGGAGAUGGUUGAACACCUGCCUGCCCAUGGGAAGGAGCGAAUGAAUUCCUUUUUUUGCUUUGCUUCUGUGCGCAGCUUUUGCUUUACCUAUUAAACUGUCUUUAUCUCAAA